rnacentral:rRNA from 1 species
CACGUAGGGUGCGAGCGUUGUCCGGAAUUAUUGGGCGUAAAGAGCUCGUAGGCGGUGUGUCACGUCGGCCGUGAAAACCUGCAGCUUAACUGUGGGCGUGCGGUCGAUACGGGCAUCACUGGAGUUCGGCAGGGGAGACUGGAAUUCCUGGUGUAGCGGUGAAAUGCGCAGAUAUCAGGAGGAACACCGGUGGCGAAGGCGGGUCUCUGGGCCGAUACUGACGCUGAGGAGCGAAAGCGUGGGUAGCAAACAGG